UGUAUUAAUGGAAAGGUAUUGUCAUGAUUGCAUUAAUGGAAAGGUCUUGUCAUGAUGGCAUUAAUGGUAAGGUCUUGUCAUGAUGGCAUUAAUGGAAAGGUAUUGUCAUGAUGGCAUUAAUGGAAAGGUCUUGUCAUGAUGGCAUUAAUGGAAAGGUAUUGUCAUGAUGGCAUUAAUGGAAAGGUAUUGUCAUGAUGGCAUUAAU